rnacentral:rRNA from 1 species
AGUGAACGCCGGCGGUAGGCCUAACACAUGCAAGUCGAACGGCAGCACAGGAGAGCUUGCUCUCUGGGUGGCGAGUGGCGGACGGGUGAGGAAUACAUCGGAAUCUACUCUGUCGUGGGGGAUAACGUAGGGAAACUUACGCUAAUACCGCAUACGACCUACGGGUGAAAGCAGGGGACCUUCGGGCCUUGCGCGAUUGAAUGAGCCGAUGUCGGAUUAGCUAGUUGGCGGGGUAAAGGCCCACCAAGGCGACGAUCCGUAGCUGGUCUGAGAGGAUGAUCGGCCACACUGGAACGGAGACACGGUCCAGACUCCUACGGGGGGCAGCAGUGGGGAAUAUGGGACAAUGGGCGCAAGCCUGAUCCAGCCAUACCGCGUGGGUGAAGAAGGCCUUCGGGUUGUAAAGCCCUUUUGUUGGGAAAGAAAUCCAGCUGGCUAAUACCCGGUUGGGAUGACGGUACCCAAAGAAUAAGCACCGGCUAACUUCGUGCCAGCAGCCGCCGUAA